rnacentral:rRNA from 1 species
UGCCAGCCGCCGCGGUAAUACGGAGGGUGCAAGCGUUAAUCGGAAUUACUGGGCGUAAAGCGUGCGUAGGCGGCGCAUUAAGUCGGAUGUGAAAGCCCUGGGCUUAACCUGGGAAUGGCAUUCGAUACUGGUGCGCUAGAGUCUGAUAGAGGGUAGCGGAAUUCCGGGUGUAGCGGUGAAGUGCGUAGAGAUCCGGAGGAACACCAGUGGCGAAGGCGGCUUGCUGGGGUGGUACUGACGCUGAACUGCGAAAGCCAGGGGAGCGAACGGGAUUAGAUA